rnacentral:sRNA from 1 species
UGGACCCAGGUGGGGGAGAGGAGCAUAUAUGGUGCAGAUUAUGUUCAGGAAACCACGGAGAGGAUCCGGGUUCUUAAGCUGAACAUGAAGGAAGCUCAGGAUCGACAGUGGAGUUAUGCUGACAAGAGGAGGAGAGAACUUGAGUUUGAGGUUGGGGACAGAGUGUAUCUUAAGAUGGCCAUGUUGCGAGGUCCGAACAGGUCUAUCUCAGAGACUAAGUUGAGUCCGAGGUACAUGGGUCCGUUCAGGAUUGUUGAGAGGGUGGGACCAGUGGCAUACAGGUUAGAGUUGCCUGAUGUUAUGCGUGCGUUUCACAAGGUCUUUCAUGUGUCGAUGAGGAAGUGUCUAAACAAGGAUGAUGAGGUGUUGGCUAAGAUUCCAGAGGAUCUUCAGCCCAACCUGACUUUGGAGGCGAGACCAGUGAGGGUUCUCGAGAGGAGGAUCAAGGAACUUCGGCGGAAGAAGAUUCCUUUGAUCAAAGUCCUGUGGGACUGCGAUGGUGUGACAGAGGAGACUUGGGAGCCAGAGGCGAGGAUGAAGGCAAGGUUCAAGAAGUGGUUCGAGAAGCAGGUUGCUGCAUGAGUUUGUCUUUCCUUGGUUUCCAGUUUCACUGUUGUUGAGUUUUUGAGCUUUUGAGUUGUUGUUCUUAUUUCUCUUUCAUUUGUAUUUUCGUUUGGAGUUGUAACGAUCAUGACAGUUGAUGAUUAAUAAGAUGAGUAUUUUUUCUUGGAUUUGACUUCAGUUGUCUUAUUUAAGAUUGUGUUGUGCGGUUUCCAAAAAUGGAAAGUUUCCUAGAAAGGACUUGUCUAUUUUUGGAAAGUUUGAGUAAACAACCUAAGAGAAAGGUGUGUUUACGAGAUGGCCGGGAGUUGGUCAUAAGGAUGUUUUCGAGGGGAUAUGAUGGAUGGUGAGGCAUAGAGGUGUCUUACGCGAAUCCAUAAGAGAGUCUGGAGAUAUGCUCGGAAGCGUUUAGUAUUGUUGCUCGAGGGACAUGAGGGUCCCAACGACUCGUGAGGAGCGGGGUAUGCUCCUGAGGUACCGGUAACUCGAGGGACAUGGUGUCUUUAGAGUACGAGGGGUACGGUGGCUUCAGGUGACGAUCCGAGAGCACGCUUUAGGGUGACGACUCGAGAGCGAGUUUUGUGGUAUUAUUUUCUACAAGUGUCGUAACUCGAUGACUUUGUGGCUGAGAGUGAGCCGACACAACUCAGGGUUUGACUUUGAGUGGGGAAGAUAAUAUGUGUGAUACCCGAGAUACCGUAGGCCGAGGCCUGAGAGUGAUGGUUUAUGCUCGAAGAUUGCGGUCUGAGAGUGGAGAGUGAGUUGUGAGCAACAAUGACUAGUAAAUCGUGAGUAUAUCGACUGGAUAGAAAGACCUAGAGGGGGUCUGGUUGGAGGGAGUGCGGACUGUAGUGAUGGUUACACGGAGUUCCUCGGAGUGGAAGGGUGAAGCUAGAUUCGAGGACGAAUCUAUGUUAGUGAGGGAGAAUUGUAACGCCCGUGAACCGGAAAAUCGGUUAGGGUUUGUUUUUAAAUCAUCCGAUUUAAUUGGUUGGGUUAAUUGGAAACCCUAGAGUGUGCCUAUAAAAGAAGGAAACUCGAAAUUAGGGCUUUAGUUAGCCACUUUUCGUUUUAUAAAGGAGAAAAAGAGAAAAAAGGAGAAUGAGCAGAAUCGUUAGGGUUUGGGAGAAAUCAGUUUCGUCAUAUCAAAUCGUGGUAAAAGGUAACGAAAUUUGUUAGAGUUAUUCCCAAGUCCUUUAUCGUUAUUCUCCAGUUUACAUAAUUGGAUUUGGAUUAAAAUUGGUUGAGUUAUUCGCAGUUUCGGGGGACACGUUUUCUCAGACGCGAAUUAGGACCAGCGGAGAUUGAAACUGAGAUCGUGGUCUCUUCUGUUUUCCGAUCGGCACGAGAUUUUGUGGGCAGCUUUUUGACGUCUGCAGCUAAGAUUUCACCGGAGCGAUUGAAUAGUUAACGGUUAGCUUGUAUUUUAGGGUUUCAUCUUUGAGACUGCUUGUUUCUGGUGUUUUCCUGUCCAUUUUGCUUCAAGGUUGCUUUUGGUUGUGGACUUGUUGUAGGACGUUUCUGGACUGUUUCAGACGCAAGGAGAGUCUCUCCUGGGUUUAAUUGCUAUUAGAAUCAAUUUGUUAAGGUGAGUGCGUGACCAUGAGCUUAUCUGAGCGAUUGGGUUGUGUGAUUUGUUUUGUGUGAUGAUAUGUAGGUGUGGUGAAUGUGUUUUGGGUGAAUUGUUCAAUGACUGGUUUGUUUGUAUUGUAUUCGUGAUUAUACCUUUGUAUUUGCUUGUGUGUAUAGCUCGUAGAUGGGAGGAUCGCCUCACUAAGUAUUUAUGAUAAUACUUACGCAUCUCAUUAUGUUGUUGAUGUAGGUAAAGAUAAAGUGUGAUCGUGGAAUCAUGGCAAGGAAGAGAGGAUGAUCUAAGAACUCGUUUGUUUUAUUUUUGGUGUUUUUGGUUAUUGGAACCCGGUUAGGAUUGUCAGUUAUUCUUGGUUUUGUUGGUCGAAUUAUUUAUUUAUUCAUAAAAUAGUAUUUUUGACUUGCGGUUUAAUUAUUAUGUUAUUGGUUGGUUUAAUUAGAUAUUUAUGGGAAUAUUUAAUUAUAUU